rnacentral:lncRNA from 1 species
CAUGCUAGUGUCAUGUCGGCUGCUGACAAUUUAGUUAGAAUCAUAUAUAAGAACUGUGGGCUGAGAUAUUGAGGAGCUGUACUACCGGCUAUAAUCUAAGAAGAACCAGCGAGAUGGAGACUGGGUGCUGGUCAAGAUUAUGUGAAGUGUGCGGUAAUUAAUAUGAAUGCUGAAAACAAUGAACAGUGAAAAGUGAAUAUUAUAGCCCAAAUCUUUAUAUGCGCAUUAUGUUUGUCUUCAUUAUUUAUUUUUUUUUGUGUGUACCAUACUUCGUAAAUAAAAUACUAAUAGUA